rnacentral:piRNA from 1 species
GACAGAUUCGUAUCUGGGCCAGGCAUA